rnacentral:rRNA from 1 species
UAGUCGAAYAGGGGAGGCAGUCCAGUCGCUCGAACACCCUCGCUCUGACGGGCGUUCGGGGAAUGUGGCGUGUGGGAGGGAGCACGCCCGAGACGCGUGCCGGCAGCAAGUCCCCCUGACAGGGGCUCUUACCCGGAGCGGGUGCGAGGCCCAUAGCUGCCGGCGCGACUCGGGAGGCGACCUCCUUGGAGUCGGGUUGCUUGGGAGUGCAGCCCUAAGCGGGUGGUAAACUCCACCUAAGACUAAAUACGGCCGCGAGACCGAUAGCAAACAAGUACCGUGAGGGAAAGUUGCAAAGAACUUUGAAGAGAGAGUUCAAGAGUACGUGAAACUGUUCAGAGGCAAACGGUUGGGCCCUCGAAGUCCAGUCGUCGGGGGAUUCAGUCGGGAGCGCUGGGGGUGCCCAAGGCAGGCGGACGCCCGAGCGGCGCGCCGUUGGCACCGUCCCACGCGAGCCCGACGCACUUCCUCCGGCGCAGCGGACGCCGCAGCCGGUUCGGUAGCRUACAAGUUCGGCCAUGAGGGAGGAGACCGGUGGGUGGCUCGAGCGCGGCCUCUGCGCCGUUUCGUUCGAGACUCUAGCCACUCCUCCCGGGCGCGACACCGGACCGAGGAAGAGGUUCUAAAAUUUUUAGGACCGGCCGUGCCAUCGCCACAGCGAGCGGAUCGCGAUGGGUCUGGAGCCUCCCGUGCGGGGCCGUUACACCGAGGCGGUGGCGGCAUCCCACAGGCUCUCCGGAGGACCCCGCGCACCGCGGCGGACAGGCAACAGGGCUUGCGGCGAGUAGGUCGGUCACCCACCCGACCCGUCUUGAAACACGGACCAAGGAGUCUAACAUGUGCGCGAGUCGUCGGGUCUUGAACAGGCCCGUAGGCGCAAUGAAAGUGAAGGCGAAUUCCCUUUCGCCGAUGUUGGGAUCCGCGGGAUGCAGAUCCCGCGGCGCACCAACGGCCCGUCCCGACCCGCUUCGUCGGGUGGGGCGGAGCCGGAGCGCACACGUUGGGACCCGAAAGAUGGUGAACUAUGCCCGGGCAGGACGAAGCCAGAGGAAACUCUGAUGGAGGUCCGCAGCGGUUACUGACGUGCAAAUCGUAUCGUCGGACCUGGGUA